UACAGGGGGUGCAAACGUUGCUCGGAAUCAUUGGGCGUAAAGCGCACGUAGGCGGUCUGUUAUGUCGGAUGUGAAAGCCCUCGGCUCAACUGAGGAAGUGCAUCCGAAACUGGCAGGCUAGAGUACUAAAGAGGGUCGCGGAAUUCCCGGUGUAGAGGUGAAAUUCGUAGAUAUCGGGAGGAACACCGGUGGCGAAGGCGGCGACCUGGGUAGAUACUGACGCUGAGGUGCGAAAGCCAGGGGAGCAAACGGG
rnacentral:rRNA from 1 species